rnacentral:rRNA from 1 species
GAUGAACGCUGGCGGCGUGCCUAAUACAUGCAAGUCGAGCGAACAGAUGAGAAGCUUGCUUCUCUGAUGUUAGCGGCGGACGGGUGAGUAACACGUGGGUAGCCUACCUAUAAGACUGGGAUAACUCCGGGAAACCGGGGCUAAUACCGGAUAAUAUUUUGAACCGCAUGGUUCAAUAGUGAAAGACGGUUUCGGCUGUCACUUAUAGAUGGACCCGCGCCGUAUUAGCUAGUUGGUAAGGUAACGGCUUACCAAGGCGACGAUACGUAGCCGACCUGAGAGGGGGAUCGGCCACACUGGAACUGAGACACGGUCCAGACUCCUACGGGAGGCAGCAGUAGGGAAUCUUCCGCAAUGGGCGAAAGCCUGACGGAGCAACGCCGCGUGAGUGAUGAAGGUCUUCGGAUUGUAAACUUCUGUUAAGUGGGAAAAAGGAAUUGCUGUUAAUAGCAGCGAGAGAUGAUGGUACCACUAGAGAAAGCACUGGCUAAUCUCGUGCCAGCAGCCGCGGUAA